GAUGAACGCUAGCGGCAGGCUUAACACAUGCAAGUCGAGGGGUAUAGUUCUUCGGAACUAGAGACCGGCGCACGGGUGCGUAACGCGUAUGCAAUCUACCUUUUACAGAGGGAUAGCCCAGAGAAAUUUGGAUUAAUACCUCAUAGUAUGUGAGAAUCGCAUGGUUUUCACAUUAAAGUUCCAACGGUAAAAGAUGAGCAUGCGUCCCAUUAGCUAGUUGGUAAGGUAACGGCUUACCAAGGCGACGAUGGGUAGGGGUCCUGAGAGGGAGAUCCCCCACACUGGUACUGAGACACGGACCAGACUCCUACGGGAGCAGCAGUGAGGAAUAUUGGACAAUGGGCGCAAGCCUGAUCCAGCCAUGCCGCGUGCAGGAUGACGGUCCUAUGGAUUGUAAACUGCUUUUGCACNGGAAGAAACAACGCUACGUGUAGCGUCUUGACGGUACUGUGAGAAUAAGGAUCGGCUAAC
rnacentral:rRNA from 1 species